rnacentral:rRNA from 1 species
GUGGGGAAUCUUCCGCAAUGGACGAAAGUCUGACGGAGCAACGCCGCGUGAGUGAAGAAGGUUUUCGGAUCGUAAAGCUCUUUCGUUAGGGACGAACGUGUUCUUUGUGAAUAAUGAGGAGUAAUGACGGUACCUAAAUAAGAAGCCACGGCUAACUACGUGCCAGCAGCUGCGGUAAUACGUAGGUGGCAUGCGUUGUCCGGAAUUAUUGGGCGGAACGCGCGCGCAGGCGGGAUAUCAAGUCUGUCUUAAAAGUGCGAGGCUCAACCUAGUGAGGCAACAGAAACUGGUAUUCUUGAGUGUCGGAGAGGAAAGUGGAAUUCCAAGUGUAGCGGUGAAAUGCGUAGAGAUUUGGAAGAACACCAGUGGCGAAGGCGACUUUCUGGACGAUGUCUGACGCUGAGGCGCGAAAGCUAGGGGAGCGAACGGGAUUAGAUACCCCAGUAGUCC